AUCUCUUCAUCACCCUUACAGAGAUCCCCUACCAACCCUCCCCAGCCGUUACCCCGGACACAGAAUCUGGGGAAGGAUCAGCCAGCUUUCCCGGAGCAUUCUCUCUUUCUCGCUGUCAGAGAUCCUCAUGAGGGUGAUGUCGCUCAUGAUGACCUGCUUUGAAUGAGCCCCAUCUGCGACUGUCUCACAACCUAGCCUGUCAUCACACUCCCAGAGGCUAGCGCGGAUUAGGCAUAAGAAGAAGAGGACACGGGAGGACAUGUUCUCGGAGCUUAUAGCCUGCUCCAGAGCCCAGGCAGCACAGCAGACCCAGUGGCGGGAGAACUUGACCCGAAUGCACCAAGCCA